rnacentral:rRNA from 1 species
UACGAAGGUCCCAAGCGUUAUCCGGAUUUAUUGGGUUUAAAGGGUGCGUAGGCGGGCUAUUAAGUCAGUGGUGAAAGCCCCAAGCUUAACUUGGGAACUGCCAUUGAUACUGAUGGUCUUGAGUACAUUUGAGGUGGGCGGAAUGUGUCAUGUAGCGGUGAAAUGCUUAGAUAUGACACAGAAACACCGAUUGCGAAGGCAGCUCACUAAACUGUAACUGACGCUGAGGCACGGAAAGCGUGGGGAGCAAACAGG